rnacentral:sRNA from 1 species
UGGCUAAUCAGAACGGUAGCGCAAUGGAAGAAGACGAAGGAGAUGAAGAGCAAGAUGAUCCACCGCAUAAGAAGCUUAAGCAGCUAGAUUGUCUUACUUCAGUCGCUGUUAAGGAAGAGGAGGAGCCAGAGCAAGUGCUUCCAUCGGAAGCUAUGGUUGUGGAGGAAGCGGCGACUCUGGUUGCGAGUGCGGCUAAGAAAUCUAAAUCGAAGAAGAAGAACAAUAAUGUAUGGGUGACUAAGAGCACACGUAAGGGAAAGAAGAAGAGUAAAGCCAACACGCCGAAUCCAGCAGCUGUAGAAGAUAAGGUAUUGAUAACUCCGGUGCCUAGAUUUCCCGAUAAGGGAGACGAUACACCUGACUUGGAAAUUUGCCUUUCUAAAGUAUACAAAGCUGAGAAAGUUGAGAUAAGUGAAGAUAGACUUACUGCAGGAAGUAGUAAAGGGUAUAGGAUGGUGAGAGCUACAAGAGGA